CGCCCCUCCCUUCUCCCGGCUUCCUGCCCUCUGUGCCCUGAGCAGCUCUGCUUCCCAGGCCCCUGCCGUCCUGCCUCGGAGCCGGGCGCCGUGGACUGAAACGCCAGCGUUACCAGGCUGAGGAGCCCUGACCAAGUUGGCAGUUCUUCCUGGUGCCACUCAGUUCCGCCAGAAUUAGCUGGUUCAGCGACGACGCCAUCUCCAAGAGGGCCACGUGGCCCCUGUCACCACAGAUCACUGCUGCUUCUGACUUGGUGUCCUGAGGACAUCACAGAAACGGACUUGUGCUGUGCGUGGAGCCUUUGUGCCUGGCUGCGUCCACUCCACAUGUUCCAAGGUCCAUCCCUGAGGUAGCAUGUGCCUCUGCUCUUCUUUUUAUGGCUGAGUAGUAUUCCGUUUACAGACUGAACCACAUCGGGUUCCUUCACUGCAUUAUAAAAGGAAUUUUCAAACUACCCAGAGCAACAUGCUGUCUCUGCAUCCACGAGCCCUGACAGGGUGACGGCAGGGAUAUUGGUUGCCUGCUAAUUCCUGUGUUUCCUCAGUGACUUCCUUCCAGCCUUGCAGAUCUUGUCUCCUGGCUCUCGUUCCCCUGUGCCUCACUCGUGGCUGUGCCGAGCCCAGGGACGGGAGAGCUCUGUGGGGCAUCUGGGGACUGGACUCCUCAGUACCAGGCACUGUCUCCGCACCGGAAGCAGGAUGUCCUGGACUCACUGGGGAGCAGGUGUUCCCUGGCUGGAUCUUGGGGGCCCAGGCAUCUCCCUAGUCAGGGGCCCAUGUUUGGGGUACAGGUGGGGUACAGGCUGGCUGGGAGCCAAUCAGACUUCUGUAGCUGGUUGUCUUUCAGACACAGCCUGCGAGCCCUAGGAUUGAGUCCUCCCUCCUUCCCUGGCUCAGGAGUCUCCACUCUCUGCUGUCCCAAGGGCCCACACCUGGGUAACCCUCAGGGGACAAGCCUGCCCCCCAAAACUAGGGACACCAGCAGGCCAGCGAUGCACCCUGGCCAUGCCUUCUCCUGACCUCUAGGCGAAGGUCCAUCACUGCUGGGCAGAGACCCAGCCAAGCCCAGGCCACUGAGUCCCUGGGGCUCCCUGGAGGGCACAGCCUCAGGUGAGGUGCAGACCAGGCUGAGUCCCCAGUGCGAGCUGGCCUUCGUGAUGCCCCUCAGCCUCUCCUGGCUCUCUGGGGCACAGCACGGAGGCUGCAGGGACCCCUGGCUGCUGUGCCUCUGAGCCGCUUCCCAACAGCGGGGAUGAUGGGCCACCUUGUGAGAGGGCAGAGGACGGGGGCGCACCCACCCUGCUUGGUGACAGAGGUGCUGCAGGCCCUGGCUGGCCUUGGGCGGCCCUGGAAGGUGCUUUCUGCCGCCAUGUAGGAUGUGAACUUCCCACUCCAUCCCGGCUUAUUUUGGGAUCUGAGGCUCACAAAGGUCACGGGAGCUUGGGUCUGGCCAGACAUGGACGCUCCUGCCAGCCCACCUGGGACACCGCCUGGUUGGGAGGGGAGAGGACAGCGGACCACAGGCUGCUGCUGACCCGUGCUGUGGUGAGAUGGGCGAGGCAGUGCCGGCCACACCUGCCCACCGGGACAGGCUCGAGGCCCUGGAGCAGGCAGCUGUGCUGUGCGCUUGGUCACUUCAGCUGGAGGCUCAAGGCGCCUCAUGGGCAGCUCUGCAGGAGCCCGUUUGGCCAGGGCAGAAUGGGCGAGCAGUGGGCACACUUGAGAAGCAGGGACAUUCUCCAGGCCACCAGGAGCAGCGGCCAACGUGGGCAGCCACCUUGUGAGUCUCCCAGCCAGAGCCAGAGGGGAGCGGCUCUGCCCUCGUCGCCCUCCAGGGCCAGGCGGCCAGGAGGCAGUGGUGCAGGCUGUUCCAUGCCAGCGUGAGUCAUCACCCUCUCUGUGCCCUCACUGGGUUCGGGACUGCAGAGCCUCCUGGCCCCUCACAGGGCUGCAGUCCAGGGUGGGGAGAGCUCCUCCCCACAAGGCUUCUCCCCAGGGCUGGCGAGGCAGAGGGGUGACCUGCCCUCCCCGCGGUGGCUCAGUGGCCCCGCCCUCCACCUGCUCAGCGUGGGGAAGAGGGUGUCCCCAACUCCCUGCGGACCCCCAGUAUCAUUAGUAUCUGAGUUAUGGCCUUUGUAGCCACAGCCCUGGAAGAUGGCAUCCAAAUACUUCUCCUACCAGCGGGGCCUCAUGUUCCCAACAACUUGAAGCCAUUUGGAAAAAUAUCAAAAGAAAAACCGAGCGACAGGAAGGUUUCUAACAGGGCAAGCUCAGGUGACCCGGAGGGACCCCUCCUUCCAUGGUUAAAGGCCUUGGCACGGAGUGGAGUGCUGCCCUCCUUUUGGGACUCCCUUUGGUGAAGGGGAUAUUUUCAAAGAAGGGUUCACCUUUGUUUUUCAAAGCAAUUUAUUCCCAUUCUCUCUAAAGCAGAUGUCUAGAGACGUUUAUCACAUUUGUGCUUCUAGUGGGAAACAAUUAUAUUUUUGACUUGGUGGAUUAUUUUUUUUAACCCUCAGAAGCUGCUCCUUUAUUCCCUAAUGUAAAAUUCUAGCUUCAAAGUAAAUUCCUAGGCAGUUGGCACCAAAUAAGGCAGCGAACCUCACACAGCCCGGAUCUGGGCCCAGGCAGGCAUUCCUGGCAUAGCCCAGCUCUGCCCCAGGGCUCUUAGCAACGCCAGCCUUUUGAAUCUGCUUAAAACUAUUAAGAAGUAAUUAAGUAGUUAAAGGGUCUUUUCCAGCCGGGCCGGAUUCGGGAGGUGGGCUAAAGAAAACAAACGAAUAGCCAGGCUGUCUUCCUUUUAGCUGACCUUGCACGCUAAUAAAUUCAUCCUGUAUUUUUCUGCUACUGCCAAUUUAUGGCCCACAGGAAACUAAUCUUGUUCAAUCAUUGGCUUCCUGUGCUUAGGUCCUAAAUAGAGCCAAAUGGAUUUGGUGGCGGAAGAGCUCCCCGCCGUUCCUGUGGGGGUGCGGAGCCUCGCAGGGUCUGAUCACCCGCGUGUGCUUAUUGACUCUGACGGCAGAAUUACGUUCUCCUUUUGGGCCCCCUGCACUUAAGAACAGAAAAUGAAAAACAAUCCUGGGAACAAUGCCUACCGCAGUGCCGGACAGUGAGAGGCGGGUUGGGACCGCUGUAGAUGGACCCAGGCCCUGGGGAUUCGGGCAGGGCCACACUGGGGCUGGCACUCAGGAAGGCUUUGAGGAGGAGGAUGCACCUGCUCUGUGAUGGAAGAAAAUGUGCACCAAGGUGCAGAUUUGGUCCUGAGCCAGGGAGAGGUGGUUCUCUUUCCAAAGCCAGAUGCAUGACUUGGAGGGGAGGAGGGAGGAAGGACAGAGAGCCCCAUUUGUUGAGUCACUGCUUACAAGGAGUAGAGAUGGGCUUGGAUGAAAAGAUGGAAAGUUAGCAGGUAUGGCAGUGCAGGCCUGUAAUCCCAGCACGUGGGGAGGC